rnacentral:rRNA from 2 species
AGGGUUUGAUCAUGGCUCAGAACGAACGCUGGCGGCAGGCCUCAAACAUGCAAGUCUAGGGGGUGUAGCAAUACAUCACCGGCGGACGGGUGCGUAACGCGUGGGAAUGUACCUAUUGGUUCGGAACAACUGAGGGAAACUUCAGCUAAUACCGAAUGUGCCCGUAAGGGGAAAGAUUUAUCGCCAAUGGAUCAGCCCGCGUAGGAUUAGCUAGUUGGUGAGGUAAUGGCUCACCAAGGCUCCGAUCCUUAGCUGUUCUGAGAGGAAGAUCAGCCACACUGGGACUGAGACACGGCCCAGACUCCUACGGGAGGCAGCAGUUGGGAAUCUUGGACAAUGGGGGAAACCCUGAUCCAGCCAUGCCGCGUGAGUGAUGAAGGCCUUCGGGUUGUAAAACUCUUUCGACGGGGACGAUAAUGACGGUACCCGUAGAAGAAGCUCCGGCUAACUUCGUGCCAGCCGCCGCGGUAAUACA